GGUUAAGUUAACAAGGGCGCAUGGUGAAUGCCUUGGCACUAGGAGCCGAUGAAGGACGGGACUAACACCGAUAUGCUUCGGGGAGCUGUACGUAAGCUAUGAUCCGGAGAUUUCCGAAUGGGGCAACCCAGCAGUUUUAAUCAACUGUUACCACUAGAUGAAUUCAUAGUCUAGUUGGAGGUAAACGCUGUGAACUGAAACAUCUCAUUAGCAGCAGGAAUAUAAAGAAAUUUCGAUUCCCUAAGUAGCGGCGAGCGAACGGGGAACAGCCCAAACCAAAGUGCUUGCACUUUGGGGUUGUAGGACUGAACAUUUGAGUUACCAAAGAACUUGAUAGUCGAAGGAUUUGGGAAAAUCCGCCAUAGAUGGUGAUAGCCCAGUAGAUUAAAUCAAAUUCUCUCAGUUCAGGAUCCUGAGUACGGCGGAACACGUGAAAUUCCGUCGGAAUCCGGGAGGACCAUCUCCCAAGGCUAAAUACUACCUAGUGACCGAUAGUGAACCAGUACCGUGAGGAAAGGUGAAAAGCACCCCGGGAGGGGAGUGAAAUAGUUCCUGAAACCAUGUGCCUACAAUAAGUCAGAGCGCGUUAAUGCGUGAUGGCGUGCCUUUUGUAGAAUGAACCGGCGAGUUAUGAUCCCGUGCAAGGUUAAGACUAAAAAGUCGGAGCCGUAGCGAAAGCGAGUCUGAAAUGGGCGUUUUGAGUACGAGGUUAUAGACCCGAAACCAGGUGACCUAUCCAUGUCCAGGUUGAAGGUGCGGUAAAACGCACUGGAGGACCGAACCCGUGUAAGUUGAAAAUUGCUGGGAUGAGGUGUGGAUAGCGGUGAAAUUCCAAACGAACUUGGAGAUAGCUGGUUCUCUCCGAAAUAGCUUUAGGGCUAGCCUCGGAAUUAGGAUCAUGGAGGUAGAGCACUAUUUGGACUAGGGGCCCGUCUUGGGUUACUGAAUUCAGAUAAACUCCGAAUGCCAUUGAUUCAUAUCCGGGAGUCAGACGAUGAGUGAUAAGAUCCACCGUCGAAAGGGGAACAGCCCAGACCAUCAGUUAAGGUCCCUAAAUGUAUGCUAAGUGGAAAAGGAUGUGGAGUUGCAUAGACAACUAGGAUGUUGGCUCAGAAGCAGCCACCAUUUAAAGAGUGCGUAAUAGCUCACUAGUCGAGUGAUCCUGCGCCGAAAAUGUACCGGGGCUAAGCAUACUACCGAAACCAUGGAUGCGACCAUUAGGUCGCGUGAUAGGAGAGCGUUCUAAGGGCGGUGAGCAAGAUCGUGAGGACUUGUGGAGCGCUUAGAAGUGAGAAUGCCGGUAUGAGUAGCGAAAGAUAGGUGAGAAUCCUAUCCACCGAAUGACUAAGGUUUCCUGGGGAAGGCUCGUCCUCCCAGGGUUAGUCGGGACCUAAGUCGAGGCCGAGAGGCGUAGACGAUGGAUAACAGGUUGAGAUUCCUGUACUAGUUAAGUGCGUUUGAGCAAUGGAGGGACGCAGGAGGCUAAGAUGUGCAUUCUGUUGGAUUAGAAUGUCCAAGCAGUAAGUCUUGUGAAGAGUCAAAUGCUUUUCACUUUAAGGACAAGCUGUGAUGGGGAGCGAAAUUUAGUAGCAGAGCGUCUGAUGUCACACUGCCGAGAAAAGCUUCUAGUGAGUACUUAACUACCCGUACCGCAAACCGACACAGGUAGUCGAGGAGAGAAUCCUAAGGUGAGCGAGUGAACUCUCGUUAAGGAACUCGGCAAAAUGACCCCGUAACUUCGGGAGAAGGGGUGCUGAUCGCAAGAUCAGCCGCAGUGAAUAGGCCCAGGCGACUGUUUAUCAAAAACACAGGUCUCUGCAAAAUCGUAAGAUGACGUAUAGGGGCUGACGCCUGCCCGGUGCUGGAAGGUUAAAAGGAUGGGUUAGCUUCGGCGAAGCUCAGAAUUGAAGCCCCAGUAAACGGCGGCCGUAACUAUAACGGUCCUAAGGUAGCGAAAUUCCUUGUCGGGUAAGUUCCGACCCGCACGAAAGGCGUAACGAUCUGGGCACUGUCUCAACGAGAGACUCGGUGAAAUUAUAUUGUCCGUGAAGAUGCGGACUACCCGCGACAGGACGGAAAGACCCCAUGGAGCUUUACUGUAGCUUGAUAUUGAGUGUUUGUACAGCUUGUACAGGAUAGGUAGGAGCCAUAGAAACCGGAACGCUAGUUUCGGUGGAGGCGUUGGUGGGAUACUACCCUCGCUGUAUGACCACUCUAACCCGCACCACUAAUCGUGGUGGGAGACAGUGUCAGGUGGGCAGUUUGACUGGGGCGGUCGCCUCCUAAAAAGUAACGGAGGCGCCCAAAGGUUCCCUCAGAAUGGUUGGAAAUCAUUCGCAGAGUGUAAAGGCACAAGGGAGCUUGACUGCGAGACAGACAGGUCGAGCAGGGACGAAAGUCGGGCUUAGUGAUCCGGUGGUACCGUAUGGAAGGGCCAUCGCUCAACGGAUAAAAGCUACCCUGGGGAUAACAGGCUUAUCUCCCCCAAGAGUCCACAUCGACGGGGAGGUUUGGCACCUCGAUGUCGGCUCAUCGCAUCCUGGGGCUGUAGUCGGUCCCAAGGGUUGGGCUGUUCGCCCAUUAAAGCGGUACGCGAGCUGGGUUCAGAACGUCGUGAGACAGUUCGGUCCCUAUCCGUCGCGGGCGUAGGAAAUUUGAGAGGACCUGUCCUUAGUACGAGAGGACCGGGAUGGACAUACCUCUGGUGUACCAGUUGUGCCGCCAGGCGCAUCGCUGGGUAGCUACGUAUGGAUGUGAUAAACGCUGAAAGCAUCUAAGUGUGAAACACACCUCGAGAUGAGAUUUCCCAUUCCUUUAUGGAAGUAAGACCCCUGAAAGAUGAUCAGGUAGAUAGGUUAGAAGUGGCAGUGCGGUGACGCAUGAAGCGGACUAAUACUAAUCGGUUGAGGACUUAACCAA
rnacentral:rRNA from 1 species